GAAAUUCGACUUCAUGAAGCUGGAAUUGCUAGUAAUGGCAGGUCAGCAUACUGCCGUGAAUACGUUCCCGGGGCCCUUGUACACACCGCCCGUCACACCAUGAGAGUUGGGAAUACCCGAAGCCUGUGAGCUAACUGUAAAGAGGCAGCAGUCGAAGGUAGAAUCAAUGAUUGGGGUGAAGUCGUAACAAGGUAGC
rnacentral:rRNA from 1 species